UACGGAGGGUGCAAGCGUUGCUCGGAAUCACUGGGCGUAAAGCGACCGCAGGCGGCCUGACAAGUCGGAUGUGAAAGCCCUGGGCUCAACUCAGGAAUUGCAUUCGAAGCUGGCAGGCUAGAGUACGGGAGAGGGGGGUGGAAUUCCUGGUGUAGGGGUGAAAUUCGUUGAUAUCAGGAGGAACACCGGCGGCGAAGGCGGCCCCCUGGCCCGCAACUGACGCUCAUGGUCGAAAGCGUGGGGAGCAAACAGG
rnacentral:rRNA from 1 species